rnacentral:tRNA from 2 species
GCCGCUGUAGCUCAAAGGACAGAGCAGUCCCGUCCUAAGGGAAAGGUUGGAGGUUCAAUUCCUCCCAGCGGCA